UGAGUAAUGUCUGGGAAACUGCCUGAUGGAGGGGGGUAACUACUGGAAACGGUAGCUAAUACCGCAUAACGUCGCAAGACCAAAGAGGGGGACCUUCGGGCCUCUUGCCAUCGGAUGUGCCCAGAUGGGAUUAGCUAGUAGGUGGGGUAACGGCUCACCUAGGCGACGAUCCCUAGCUGGUCUGAGAGGAUGACCAGCCACACUGGAACUGAGACACGGUCCAG
rnacentral:rRNA from 1 species